GCAAGCUAAAGACAGACAACAAGAUAAAAAAUAAAAAUGUAAUUCAUUUUAAAAGUGAGUUAGACAGAGCGGGUAAAGAGAAGACUAGGGGCAGCUUAACCUACACGUGGUUAGCUAAGUUUGAGUCAGACAGACUGGCUCAAUCAAGUACUUUUGCCUCUCGAAAUAAAUUAUUGACCCAUCUUUUGAAUUGAUAUCGCAUCAAUCGUUUAUAAAUAAUAAAUGUUGCAUCAUUACAAUACAAUCAACAACAAUAACUUAUUUACAUACAUCAAUUCGUAUCGCUUCAAAAAAUGUCUGCUGCUAUCAUACAGAUAUGGUCUGCUGUUUUGAUGACUAGGCUCAUAUAAUAAUAUACAGCCUCCCCCUACUGGACGCAUGAGGAACAACAGGGGCGUAAAACUGCUUGGGGCCUAUAUCUACCGGCUCCAGGUCUGCAGCCUCCCCCUACUCGCCCAUUUAGGCGGUGAUGUGUAUAAAUGAGCAGUUACAGAUCCCGCCGAUAGAGGCGCAGUGAGACACACUCGAAAACAACAGAACACUGGUUCAGGUGUUUAAAGGGACAUCCCCCAAAAAAGCAGGAGGUUGAUCCUGAGGCUCAAACAGAUCGAUUUACAUUGCUUGAAUUACGGGGACAGUCAAAUGUCCUCAUAAUCCCAAAUGUCCUUGUAAUGUUGUUAUGUAAACUGGUGAAAUGUCCUUGUAAUCCACCAAAACCAACACACACACACACACACUUGUUUUUGCUACAUUGUGGGGACUCAUGACUAGAAGGUUACAUGUGGGGACAGCUAUAUCUAAAUACAAUAACGCCAUAAUUUUAAGUCAGAGGUGUCAAGAAAAUUUUUUUUAUCCCAAAAUUAAUUAUCAAAAAAUCUUAAGUUUAAAAAGCUUCAUUUUUGUCAGGUUUUUCUAUUCUGGUGGGGACGUCGCUAUUGUGUGUUACCACAAACCACCAUCGGGUGUCUACUAUGAAUUUUCUAUUUAUUAUCUAUUUUAUAAGAACUAUAAGCCAUUCAGAGCCAUAUAGAGUGAGAGUUGCGACAACUCCAUUGACUCCAAUGGAACGCUUUUUUUUACAGCAAUGGCGGCUCGUGGAGCCUCUCAAUAGUUCCCGGAAGUAGCAGCAAACCGAUGCCGCGCCGUAGAGAUGCAGCAGAACAAACCGUUUGCGACGCACUUUUAACAGACCCAGGUAACUGGCUGAUGGUUCUCAGGAAUGCUGAAUGGCUGCUGACUGACUUGCUGCUGGUUGACUGGGCAGUGUCACCUGUCCCCGUCUCUCCUCUCUAGCCAUGUCCUUUUUCUUCACUCUCACUUUCCUUUCUCUGAGUGUCCUCGUUCUUUUUUCCUCAACCUUUGAAACUGAUAGAGGUAGAAUACAUGGUUUUGCUAAUUUUAAAUAUUGAAAAUAUCACAUCACUUUACUUCAACUAGUACGAGUUUGUACUUAUUAUAUAUGAAUCACCUGAAAUAACAUAGCUGUAAUCAGCAGCCAUUUCUUGUAUGUUCACAGGUCUAGGGGUGCAUCGUGGAGCAGGGUCCUCCUCUUUUUGACCACAGGACGAUGUACAAAGAUUGUGGGAAUAGCAUCUGGUCUCAGCCUACUCUUGAAUUUUUUGGUCAUGACAAAUUGCAUUGCCACAAUUUGUCUGCAUACUGACUUCAGUUUAGUUUACACACACACCUUUUUUUUUGCCUACCAACAUACUGUACAUAUCACAUGGUGGUUAAAUGCACAGUUAUAGGUAACACUGAUGACUCCCUGCAAUGUCUCACCAUGAGUCUCAGCUCCCUGGGUUUUGCAAGGCUUUGCUUGUUCCUUAUUUCUAGUAAAACAUUGUCAAUGUAAAAAAGUGCAAAUAAAUGUAAGUAUAAUUACCUAACAAUUUUUUGUUGUUGUAAUUUUUAUUUGUAUUUAGAUUGCUCCUGCUGACUUGAGCCAACCAUUAUUUUCUCCUCUCUAUGUCAGCGGGGAAGAUAUACAUUCGCACACCUUUCUCUGACCGAGUGGAGCAUCCCCAUGCAGCACAGUAAACCACGGUGGAGACUAUGCAAGGACAACAUGAAAGAAAGGACACAUACAAAAUGCUUGUCAUGCUAUUAAAUUUAUUAGAAAUGUAUUCAUGAAUUGCUGUAAAUAGUUAAUUGUAUAAUUACAAUUUAAAAUAACUGUUUUCUAUUUUAAAAUGGAAUAUACUCCUGUGAUGCCAACCUGAAUUUUCAGCAUCAUUACUUUUGAAUGGCAGUGUACAUGUUUAUAUACGAGCAUGCUUAAGUUGUUUUAAACCUGAAUAUAUUGUGUACAUGAAUAAGUAUUGUAAGAAUUAUACUAGAUAUAAUAGGUAUAUUAUUUAUAAUACAUAAUUAUAUUACUAUAUGUAAUUGUAAGAAUUAUAAACAGUAAGCUUCAUUUUACAUUUAUUUAACAUGCUAAUUACUGCUGCUAACAGUUAAUUGACCCAUAGUGAAGUGCGAGCUGAAAAUCACCUGUCACCAGCCUGUCUCUGUACUACCUGAAAGUCAUCAAUAUGACAUGAGUUAACAUUAGAUCAGUGAAAAAAUGGACAAUAUGUAACGUAAAAAGGCAACAGCAACCCGUGUUUAUAAAACUUAACUUUAGCCUGAAAUACGUUUUUAAAAUAACGGUAAUUGAACACUAAUCCUCAAAUAUUACCCGAUUUGAUAUUUUAAAAACAACAUCGCUGUAACUACAUACUCAUGCUACAUACAUAUGUCAGUGUGUUGUAUAAACAUAUAAAAUAAAUGCAUUUAUUGACUCCUUAUUACCAGAAA